GUGCUCACUUUGGCAGCACUGAUACUAAAAUUGGAACAAUACAGAGAAGAUUAGCAUGGGUCAUAGGAUGACACACAAGUUCUGAGCAUUCAUAUUAAAAAAUAUAU
rnacentral:snRNA from 1 species